rnacentral:rRNA from 1 species
AACACAUGCAAGUCGAGCGGAAACGAGUUAUCUGAACCUUCGGGGAACGAUAACGGCGUCGAGCGGCGGACGGGUGAGUAAUGCCUAGGAAAUUGCCCUGAUGUGGGGGAUAACCAUUGGAAACGAUGGCUAAUACCGCAUGAUGCCUACGGGCCAAAGAGGGGGACCUUCGGGCCUCUCGCGUCAGGAUAUGCCUAGGUGGGAUUAGCUAGUUGGUGAGGUAAGGGCUCACCAAGGCGACGAUCCCUAGCUGGUCUGAGAGGAUGAUCAGCCACACUGGAACUGAGACACGGUCCAGACUNNUACGGGAGGCAGCAGUGGGGAAUAUUGCACAAUGGGCGCAAGCCUGAUGCAGCCAUGCCGCGUGUAUGAAGAAGGCCUUCGGGUUGUAAAGUACUUUCAGUCGUGAGGAAGGCGGCGUCGUUAAUAGCGGCGUUGUUUGACGUUAGCGACAGAAGAAGCACCGGCUAACUCCGUGCCAGCAGCCGCGGUAAUACGGAGGGUGCGAGCGUUAAUCGGAAUUACUGGGCGUAAAGCGCAUGCAGGCGGUUUGUUAAGUCAGAUGUGAAAGCCCGGGGCUCAACCUCGGAAUAGCAUUUGAAACUGGCAGACUAGAGUACUGUAGAGGGGGGGUAGAAUUUCAGGUGUAGCGGUGAAAUGCGUAGAGAUCUGAAGGAAUACCAGUGGCGAAGGCGGCCCCCUGGACAGAUACUGACACUCAGAUGCGAAAGCGUGGGGAGCAAACAGGNUUA